rnacentral:ribozyme from 1 species
UUCUUUUUUUUUCUUUUCUUUCGUCUUUUUUAUUUUUGAUUCUUUUUGGGGAGAAUCUCUUUUGACGGAAAAAGGUUAUGAAAGAAGAGAGAAGAUAAG